rnacentral:misc_RNA from 1 species
AAGUCGUAACAAGGUUUCCGUAGGUGAACCUGCGGAAGGAUCAUUAAUACGUAUCCACGUAUCAACCCAAUCGUGAAUUUGUUUUCCGCCUUGGAGGAGAGAUUUGCGGCAGUUUACUGUUUCGACUGAGUCGGAGCAGGCUGAUGGUGCGCGACUGCCGGUCCUAGUUGGGAUUCGUUCUAACUAGCUCAUCCAAGUGUGGUUUUCUUUGACGCACUGUCAUUUUACUAUUAACCCCAUGUACAAAAUUCUGAACUGACAACUCUUUGUCUGUCAAAGGACAAAGCAAGAAAAAGAAACUAAAAACAACUCUUAACAACGGAUAUCUUGGUUCUC